GGUAAGUACGGGCCGGCAGGCGUGGGAAUGCGUAGGUGGCCAGCGUUGGCCGGAAUUAUGGGGCGUAAAGCGCGGGCAGGCGGUCCUUUAAGUCUGAUGUGAAAGCCCACGGCUCAACCGGGGGGGGUCAUUGGAAACUGGGGGACUUGAGUGCAGAAGAGGAAAGCGGAAUUCCACGUGUAGCGGUGAAAUGCGUAGAGAUGUGGAGGAACACCAGUGGCGAAGGCGGCUUUCUGGUCUGUAACUGACGCUGAGGCGCGAAAGCGUGGGGAGCAAACAGGAUUAGAUACCCCGGUAGUC
rnacentral:rRNA from 1 species